CUUGUAGUGCGUCUGCAGGGAAAUUCAAUUAUUGUCUCUUCUUCUUUAUUAAUGCAGUAAUGAGAAUGUCUGUACAAUUGCGAUACUUGUUCUCAUAUUUUGCUGUUUUGUUACGUUUUUUCUGGAAACACCACAAAUGCAGAAUUAUGCAAAGAAAGAAGCAUUACAAACUUUACAAAAAAUUUCAACAUGCUGACAUGUGCAGCAGUUUUGCUGGAAACAACAGAAAUAUGCUACGAAAGAAGCAUCUUAACUUCUCCGAAAAUUUUUAACAUGUGACGCAUUUCUGCUGUAAACACAGAAACAACGAAUAUGCCAAGAAAGAAGCAUUACAACUUUUUCAACAAUGUUCAACAUGUUAUGAAAUAUGGUCGCGGUUUUAUCAAUGCAAAAAAUAUUUGCCGGUUUAACAGCGUGAUGCAAUUAUUUCAAAUAGUUUCCGUGUCCAUAUAUUUGAGCAUUGCUCUCUUGUUUUGACUAGAUUAUCAGCAGUAGACGAUAAAAUAAUAGAUAAAAACAAAAUAACUGAUUAUGAAUCGGGAAAGCAAACAUAACCUAAGCAAGGUUUGAAGCGUACAAAUUUUAAAAUGGAAAAGUAUUGAUAAAAGAAGUAGUACGUGUUCGCUCACCCAAAAGUAUAAAAAAAAAUUAAAGCACCCACGCACACUCAUCG